ensembl:snRNA U6 U6 spliceosomal RNA
AUACUCACUUCAGCACAUAUAUUAAAACUGGAACCAUAUAGAGAAUAUUAGCAGGGCUCUGUGCAAGUAUGACAUGCAAAUUUGUGAAGCAUUCUGUACUCUU